rnacentral:lncRNA from 1 species
CUGUAUUGUUUUUAAAUAGAUAUUCUUUUCCCAGUUAUUUACAUUUUGCGAUUAGUGUAAAUUCUUAACUGUGGAAAUUAUAUGUUGUCCCAAUCACCAGAAUUCCUUAAGGGGUAAAUUGAGUAUCUUUUAUACAUUUGUUAUCAUAGGCAGCAUAAAACAAUGAGGAUUUGCUAUUCCAUGAUGCUUAUAACUACGUAAAAUAUGCCACAAAACACUGAAUUCCCUUAAGAAUGGAAUUCUAUUGGAAAAAUUUGGGACAACGUGCAUCAAAAAGGGUAAGACACUAUUGAUAACAUGCAUAGAAUUUUUUUUUAAUGCCUAAGUUCUGAGCACUAAAAAUAAAGGAGGGGGAGGAUGAAACAUUUUCUUUGAAAGCAAUAUCAGAUUAUAAAUGUAGAACAAAUGAUAGAAAAAGAAUAAUUUUCUAAAUGAAUUACAGUUGGUAAUUUCAUCAAAGAAUAUUAAUUGGCAAAUUUCAUCAAAGAAUAUUAAAAGCCACUGGGUAAAGAUUCUACACUACAGAAAUCCAAGACAUGACAUGUUACAAAAUGGAAAACAUUUCUUUACCUUUAAAAAAAAAUCAUUGCCUUGAACAAAUGAUCAAAGAUCACAAAUAAUGAGGCAAUAUGAUGUCAUGUGCUUUUUGAUAUAGUGCAAUUAGGCAUACUCAUCAUUUAAGAAAUUUUCUUGCCAAAAUUAUUUAAGCUAAUUUCAAGCAAGCUUCAUGACUGUGGUUCUCACCAGGGCAACCUGAAGGGCAUGGAUGUUGUUAACUGCAUCUGAUGGGUAGAGGCCGGGGAUACUGCUAAUCAAGCUGCAGUGAAUAGGAUAAUUCUGCAUCCCCAAUAUAUAAUUAUCUAGCACAAAAUGUCAAUAGUGCCAAGGUGGAAAAACCCAGGUCUAGAUGGAAACACAUUUAAAAGUCAUAGGGGAUCAGAAAAAUGAGAAAUUAUACCCCAUUUGAUUCAAAUAAAAAAAAUAAAAGUCAUAGGGGAUUAUCAGAACACAUUAGACCUGAAGACACAGGCAGAUACAUCCAGACUGUGGCAUAUUCUACAGGAAAUGUAACCUAGAACACUAAAAUGUCUUAGAAAUUUCUUUGAGAUUAAAAAGAUGCAGGAGAAAUGAAAACAGUCCUACAUAUAAAAAAAACAGACGAAUGAAAGCAACUAUUUGUGACCCAUUACAGACACUUGAAUAUGGUCUAAAAACUGGAUAGUAUAAUGGAAUUAUGGUGUGAUGAUGGUAUGACUAUUCGGUAUAAUAAUAGUAUUAUUCUUGAUCUUGGGAAUUUUAUACCAAAGUAAAUCUAUAUAAAUAUGUACAUACAGAUAUGUAUAGAUAGGAAUGAGGAAAAGAAAUAUGUGACAAAAAUACUAAAAGUGAAUUAAUCAAUUGGAGGGUCCUAGUGCUUGUUAAUAUAUUAAAUUUUUGUCUUUUUUUUUUUUUUUCCUUUUGUAUUGGGUAUUGAACCUGGAGCACUUAACCACUGGGCCACACCCCCAGCCCUUUUCAUAUUUUAUUUUGAGACAGGAUCUCACCAAGUUACUUAGUUAACUUGCUAAGUUGCUGAGGCUUUAUCUGAACUUGCUAUCCUCCUGACUAAGCUUUCUAAGCCAUUGGAAUUAAAGGUGUGCACCACUGUGCCCAACAGCUUGUUAAAUUUUUUUGACUUUUCAAUGAGGUUUGAAACAUUUCAAAAUAAAAAGGAAAAAUAUGAGUUAUGCUAAUUUUUUCACAUCAAAAUUUUUACGUUUAAAUAUUCUAUAUAGAUAAGUUAAUGCCAUGGAAAAUGGUAAUAACAAACUAGAUGAGAAUAUGGAUUCUCAUCUUUAAUUAGAUAAAUCAUUCAUUUACAGAAAGUAUAAAGUCUGGGCUGGAGAUGUGGCUCAAGCGGUAGCGCGCUUGCCUGGCAUGCGUGCGGCCCGGGUUCGAUCCUCAGCACCACAUACAAACAAAGAUGUUAUGUCUGCAGAGAACUAAAAAAUAAAUACUAAAAAACUCUCUCUCUCUCUAAAAAAAAAAAUAAAUAAAAUAAAAUUUAAAAAAAAAAGAAAGAAAGUAUAAAGUCUGUAAUGAGCUGAAGUUGGAACUCCUAAGGAGAGUAAAAGAAUUUUUUAGGUACAAGAAAACAAAAAAAGAGGAAUUAAACCUUUUGAGAGAAACCUGAUAUCUCCCCCUAAACCCCCUCCUCCCUCCCCUUGACCCUUCCUCUUCCCUAUGGCCUCCCUUGUAGUUUAAUGGCAUCCUUUUCUAGUUUCUAUGUUCAAUUAUCUCAGUAAAUCUUAACAAAGCUAUUUGUGUGUGUGUGUGUAUGUGGAUCUAAAAUCCCCAUUUUACAGAUGAGGAAAGUAAGGUUUACUUUUGUAUAUCUGGUCAAUAGCAGAGCUGAAAUUUGUACUUCAAACUUCUGAUGUCCAUUAUCCACCCUCCACCAGUUUUCUCAGCUCCACUCGACUUGCAUGCACCUUUACAUCUGUGCUUUUAUGACUUUUGUAAACUUUCAAAGCUGCCAUGGAUUUUUAGUGGCAUGAAAAGACUUGGAAGUUAUGAGAGGUUACUAUUCUGGGAAUAGCAAAGAAAUGACAUUAUACAGGGCAUCCACAUUGAAAACUCUAAGGAUCUCUGAAUUUUAACAAUAACAAAACCCUAUAAAGAUGUUUUCAAAUAGAUGCUUUGGUAAAUGUUUUUGUAAAGGAUGAAAAUUGGAACAGUUUUAUGCUUUUGCUUGACUCAGAAUGAAGGGAAGAAAAGGUAACAGUUUAGUUUUUAAUAGAAGUUAUUCAAAUAAUUCAUCUAGAUACCCUUUAAUUCUAAACUGUUAUAUAAAAACCCUAAACCAUUAAAUGAAAUCAUUGCUAAUUAAAUGUUAACUGUAGAUAAUUUGCAUAAGCCUUCUCUGACUUAUUCAUUAACAUGUAUACUCAAAAUUUAUUGUCACUGUUCACAGCGUCACCACAGCAUUUAAGCAUCAUGUUUCUAACACCUAUCCUCUCCCAGGCAAUAAUCCAUUACAGUUUUGCAAAAAUUCCUCGCCAGUUGUGCAACAUAUAGGCAGCAACAAUUCACUCUCCUCUAUUCUGGCCUCUUGUUUCUAUUCAUUACUCACAACCUACUGGAGGAAAGUAUCAAAUAUCAUAAUUGCUACAGUCAUUUCUUUGCUGUUUCUAUUUUUAAGGGAUUAUCUAUUACUGCCCCCAAACUUUCAUGGCCUCAAGAUGUGAAACAGUAAUGUGUUUCCUCCACUGUUUUUGUGCAUUAUAUGAAACCCCUGUCCAAAUUACAGUUGUGCUUGGGUCACCUCGGAACCAAGAGCUCUACUCACUGUGUAAUCCAUAGAUUCCUUUUGAAAUAGAUGUGCUUCAGUUCUCUGGUUUCCUACAGCUCAGAUAAGAAAUAGGGUUAAGGAACAAGCACAUUGUCUUGCUGAAAACUGCCUCAUACACCCAGCUCAUAUAAAAGUAGAUGUUAAAGAGAUCACAAAGCCAGUCUGUUUUUCAGACAUACCUACAUUUUUAAAAUUUCAGCUAGGAACUAUUCUCCUCCAAUAUUGCUUUCUGGUUUUUUGUUUGUUUGUUUCCAGUUCUGGGCAUUAAACCCAGAGCUGGUCUACCACUGAGCUACAUCCUCAGCACUUCUUAAUUUUCAUUUUGAGACAGGCAGGGUCUUGAUAAAUUGCCCAGCUGGCCUAAAAUUUGUAAUCCUCUUUAACGGCCGCCCUAGUUGCUGGGAUUAUAGGAAUCCCAGAUUCCAAUAUUAGUUUUAAAAAUUCAAAUUUUUCAUUUGUAAUAAGACUCUUUUCUAAUCAAUGAACAAAUGAGUAUAUUUUAAAGGAUACUUAUAAGGCGAGUUGUUAUAGAACUGAGAUUCAGAAAACCUGUGUUCAAUUCUUGACACCGGAAUAAUCAAUUGAAUGGCCCCAGUCUGGUAAUUAACUUCAAUGGCACUUUUAUUCAGAGGCUCUAAUUUCUUAAAUACUUUGGGUUAUAAAAUUCUCUAGACUCUCUUACUUUCUACAAUUUCAAAUGUAAUAUUAUUAUUUCAAAUUAUGGAUAGGUUAGCAAAUUGUAUUUUCCCAAAAUGGCAGCACAGAUAUAUAUUUCAUCUUGUGAUCUUCUUACAGUGUAAGUGCCACAUGCCUCCCAUGAGAAGUGAAGUUUAUAUGUUUAUAUUUCCUCCUUUUGGAUCUUUGUGAUUUUUUUUUUUUUUAACCAUUAGACUAUAACAGAAAUAAGAUUACUUUUUCUGAGCCUAGAUCACAACAGGCAAAACAGCUUCUGUGUAAUCUCCCUCUCUUUCUCAACUAUUGGUCUAUUUAUCAUCUGCCUAGCUUUCUCUCUACUUAUCCACCCACCUCGUUGCUAUAAUGUGAGGAAGCUCAGGAGGCAGAGAGGCCAGGUGUCUGUGUUACAGAAAACAAGCCUAGGUAAGUCCCCAACCAAAAAUCACCCUCUACCGCCAGAUAUGUGAUUGAAUGAGUCUUCAGAUGAGUCAGCCUUCAACCUUUGAAUCCUCCAACUGAGGCUUUAGAUGCUGUGGAGCAGAGAAAAGCUGAGCCUGAUUUACUAGCCCACAGGAAACGUGUAACAGAAUAAGUGGUCAUUAUUGUUUUAAGCUACUAAAUUUGGGGGCAAUUUGUUAGGUAUCCAAAGUAAUCUGAAACUAAAAUGUAUGGGUUAUCUACUGUAUGCCAGAAACUCUUGCUAGGCUCUUAUUUGUAUUGUUUCCCUUACUCUGCACUAUGUCUUAAUAUUUGUUUUUACACUGUAUCAUUAGAUGUAUGUGUGAUUUAUUUUAUGCCAAAUUUUUGGUUGGUAAUGCAAUUCCCAGAGAUAUCAUUGUCCCUUGGGAAAAAUAAUUAUUACUUUAGGAUGUUCCAUCUCCUAGUGCUGUUCCCAGAAAUGUCCUACUGUCUGAUUAGUACAAAGAAAAGCUACCAUGAGGUAAUGAGGACCUAUUUUAGGGUUGAUGCUCAGAGAGAAAGAUUUUAAUAAUGACUACUAUUUUUUUCCAAUCUGUUUUUAAAUGAUUAAAAUCUAAACUGCCUUUUAUCUCUAAGGUUUAAUUCUAUAAAAUCAAUAUAAUUCUUUUUCAGGUUCCUUUUAAAGGAAGGAACUUUGUCAUUAUUCUGAAAUAUUUCUUUCACUUCUCUCAUAAUAAAUAAUAUCCAUUUUUCUUAAACAUUUGCUGAAGUUAACAAGUAUAAGGAAAAUGUGGCCAAAUGAGAUAAAGGUAGCCACUCUUUUCAUUUUAAAAUAUACAUGUAUAUUUUUAUGCCAGACUCCAACUUGUUACAGAAAUGCAGCUCAGGCUUGUAGUUAGCAUUUGAAUAAUAUGCCUAUUUUCCCCAGUCAGUCUCUGUUAUGCAAAAAUAAAGAGUCAAUAUAGAAGUAUAUUUAAAUUAUAUAUAUAUAUACACAUAUAUAUUAAUAUUUAAUUUUAUGUAUUAAUUAUAAUUGAUGCUAUUAGUAUCUGACAAAUAUUCCUAUUAUAAAUAUAUAGAUAUUGCAAAUAUUAUGAUUAUUAUUAUUGAAAUACUUGGGGUGGAAAUUUUUUGAGUUCAAGGCAGCAAUUUAAACUCCUUUUUUUUAUUGGUCAUCAAUAAAUGGAACAGAUGAUGUAUUUUCUUGACAGAUAAUAUUCAGUGGUAUAUUGGAUCUUGAGCUGGAAACACUAGUGAAUAUUAAAGUCAUAAAUAAUCCAAUCCUUUGUUGUAUCAGUUUAUGACCUUAAAAUAACCCAAUUCAAUCUGAAGCCACUAUAAUGGCCCAAAGUUCAGCAAGGCCAACUCAUAUCCUGCCAUAUUUAGUAACACACUAUAAUAUAGAGAGCUUCAACAAAAAAAAAUACAGUUAGAAUAAUAAUGAUAUAUUAUUAGCUUAAGUGCACAUGGAGUUGUUGACCUAAAACAAAAAAUUCACAGAAAGAAUAUGUUCUGAAGGAUACUGACAAAGUAAUUAAAAUAACUAGAGAAAUAGACCUAGUUAGCAAGUCAUAAGGCCUGUCUUAGUCAAUCUCUAAUUUAUGCUCCCUGAUCCUUACAGAAAAUUUUAAUAUUGUUAUUCAAUAAACUAAAUCCACAACAUUGCCAAAUUUAAUUCCAGUGCUCCUGCCACAAGCACCUCUACCCCAACCCAAAACUUUGCUUAUUUCCAGAACUAGCUGAUAUCUUCUCUUUGGUGACCUCUUACUUACUGUGCUUUGAAUGCUCUCUUCUUUUCCUUUUUGUGUCAAAUGCCACUGAUGCAAACCUCACCUGAUUUACCCAGACACAACUUCUGCCUCCUGCCUCUAGUUCACAUGCUAUUUUGUACAAUUUUCUACAGUUUUCACUAUCCUACAAUGAUAUAAUUUAUGCAUUUAUACCUUCAUUUCUGAGGUGUCAAGUGCUUAGUAUCAGGAACUGGGGGCAGGAGUUUCAAUAUAAAUUGUAAGGCUUUUAAAAUUUGAGGAUCUUAGGAAAUCCUAAGUAAGUUCACUCAUUUUUCCAAAAAAUUAUAGCUUAAAAGUUGAUUAUUCUGACUUAACAAAGUAAAAUGAGAUUUCCCAUAAGUAUUAAUAAGUGGAAUUAAAUGUAAUAGAUAAAAAUGUAAUUAGAUUAAUAAUGCUUUGACUUUAUGUCAUUUUUUUGUUCCACAGACUUCUAACUACUUAGUAAGUGUAUUUUUGUUCUUAUUAUAAGAUUGUAUAGGUGAUCAUUUAAUCUUCAAAAAAUCAAAAUUGUGUAGUUAAUUAAUUAUCUCUUGGUAAUUUUGAUUGAGUUAAAAGGACAACUUAGAGAUCCUAAGCAAUUCAAGCUACUAAAUAUACUAGCCAUCAUACAUUCUCACCCAGUGGCCCUAGGUGUGACACUUGAUAUACUAUUGGCUAACUACAAAAGAUACAAGUGCAAAAGUUAAUACUAACUACAAAAGGUUUAAAUGUAAUAUCUAUGGGCACUUUCAGGUGGUAUUAAAUUAGGGCUCAUUAAAGUAGUUACAGGAACAUGACAUAGUAGAGAAACACCUUUCUCACUGCAGGAAAUAUACUCAGUGACAUGAAGUUCAAAACUUAUUGAGGGCAGAAAUAUUGGAAACUCUUUCACAGCAAAACUCCAUCAAACAUGUACUUUCUCCAGUUCUCUUCCAAUCCUCACUGUAAUCCAUUCUCCCACUCCCACCCCAUUACUUCACUGGAACUUCUCUUACCAUAGUCUCUAAGACUUUCACAUUGCCAAAUCUAGUGCUUACUAUUUCCUGGUUUUGACCUGUCAGUCUUAGCAAUGAGCAUAGUCAAGCCCCUUUUCCUUCCUGAUAAACAUUCUUCACUUGGCUUGCAGGACACCUGUCUGUUCUCAUGAUUUUUCUUGUACAAGAAAGAACAACUUCAUGGCAAUUUUGAUUGCUAUGAUGAAUUCAUUCAUUCUCAGGAAGGUAUUCUUUGCUAAUAUCUAAGAUUCCCAGGGUCCAAUAAUCUGAAGAUUGCAAAAUUAUAAAGAUAAAAUUCUCUGCAUCAAGCUUACAAACUGGAAACAAAGCAGAAGGUGGGGAGGCUGGGUUAUGGCUCAUAUAGCAUGGGUGAGGCACUGGGUUCAAUCCUCAGCACUACAUAAAGAUAAAUAAAUAAAGGUAGUGUGCCCAUCUACAACUGAAACAUAUUUAAAAAAAAAAAAAAAAAGCAGGAGGUGGGAAAUCUAGCAUGAGAUGAAAAUGGCACCUAAAAGAAGUCUGAUGAUCAGGCUCCCACCUGAUAUCUCUUGUUAUAUAUUCUCUUCCUGAAAAAGGGGAUAAUUAUCUUAAUCACAAAUAUCAAUUGGGCAUGCAGCUUGGGGUCCAAAAGCUGAGUAUUUUACCUCUUCACUUGCACACCAUAUGUUCACUGGACUGUGAAACAAAGGCCAAGAUAAAGGCCGUGAAAUUGAAGUCUGGGCAAGUAAAGAAGAAACUGAAGAUAGUAAGAAGCACAAAUUCCCUACCCAGAUUCUAAGUAGAAAAACUAAAACUGAACAAGGUCAACAUAUCUGGUGAUUAACCCAUGCAAUUACAGACUCGGAGCAACUAAAUUCUCAGAAAAAUUGCAUAGUCAAAGAAAUCUUUAGCUUAAUAAACAAAAAUUGGUAAUUAUUCAACCUCCAAUUCCUAAGUAAUCCCUGAGCCUCCUUUCAAUGAUGUCCUGUUGAACGAUAAAAUUGACUAUGGGAAGAGGAGGAUAUUGAUUUAUGCAUUUGUUGAUUACUGUGGCUAAAUACUAUCGCCAGGAAUUUCACAAUUGGCUCUCAUAUUCCUGCUCUCUCACACACCAACAGGAAGUAGGCUGCUAAAGAUGUACAUGCAUCGCCAGGGUCUUCUAUGAAGGAUAUUAAACUUGGGAGGUUUUCCUAAGAAGAGGCCCAGACAGCCAGGUUGGCUGUCCAAGCAAUUUGCUUCACUGCCCAUGCAAAAUAUUCCUUAUCUGGCCUGGGGUUGUGGCUCAGUUGCAUAGCGCUUGCCUGCUUGCCUUGCACAUGUGAGGCACUGGGUUGGAUCCUCAACACCACAUAAAAACAAAUAAAGAUUGUGUCCGUGUAUAACUAGGAAAUUUUUUUUUUAGAGAAUUUUUUAAUGUUUAUUUUUUAGUUUUUGGCAGACACAACAUCUUUAUUUGUAUGUGGUGCUGAGGAUCGAACCCCAGGCAGCAUGCAUGCCAGGCAAGCAAGCUACCACUUGAGCCACAUCCCCAGCCCAACUAGGAAGUUUUUUUAAAGUUCCUUAUCUGCAGAACAUAUUUAAUUCAUGACCACUUUGUUUCCCAUUUUAUCCUCUCCUCUACAAGAGUUCUAAAUUGUUACUAACCUAUUUCAGUCUACAAUUGCAUUUUGAGUAUGUUGAGAGUGAUUCAAUUUAUCAUUUAUCCAUAGAUUCUCAAAACAUGAGAAUUACAUUCACACCUAUUUAAAAGCAUGCACAAUACAGAUACCUAGAUUUAGUAUUAGGUGCAGUAACUACACCAAAUGCUGAGCUAUCUCUGUUGGGGGAGAGCAUAGUACAAAUGAAAGAGUGUGAUUGUAUGCCAAACUAAGACAUUUGGAAGUUUAUACAUGUGAAGAAAGAUGUACAUUGAUGUUGAGCUAAUCAGAGGAUAGACAUAAUUUUGUCAAACAGUCAUUAACCUUCUUAUGCUUAUAGUAUGAUAUUCGCAUUUCUUCUACAGUCUCACUUUUCUCCCACUCCCAUCUAUAUGAUGCCGAAGUCUGGCUGGGCACAAAAUCAGGAGCCACUCAAGCAGGAACAAACUUUAUUUCUGAACUCCACCGAAUGCGAACCACUCGGGCCUUUUCAGGAACACCACACACCAACCGGAACUCCCUCCACCGGAAUUUCACCAACCAACCAACUCAAACUCUCCUGGAAUCCCCGUGAGAACUCCAAAGUAGGGGGGGCACCCGAGGGGGACAGCAGGGGUCUAUAUACAAUUGAAUACACAGCCUGUUUCAAUCCAGCAUCAUCCAGUCACAGCAAUUAUAGACAGCUUAAUUAUCAUCAUCUUAAUGUGUCGCCUCUCAACCAUUACUUCUGGCAAAAUGCCAGGGGCCAUCCCCACUCGGCUGUGGCUCUCAGCAAUAUGAUCCAAUACAAUUUCUCUCUUAUUCCUGAGAUAAAGUAUAUUACUCAGACCUGGCCAAUCAGACUACUGAUUUCCUCUAGAGAGUAAUUUGAUCUAGGAUGGACAUGUGACCCCCAUUGCUCCAGUAAGAAUGAAAUCUAGGACUAGGACAGCCACAUCAAUAUUUAUAGCAGCACAAUUCACAAUAUCUAACCUAUGGAACCAACCUAGGUACCCUUCAACAGAUGAAUGGAUAAAGAAAAUGUGGUAUAUAUACACAAUGGAAUAUUUCUCAUCUUUAAAGAAGAAUGACUUUAUAUGACAUUUUCCAGCAAAUGGAAGGAUCAGGAGACUAUCAUGCUAAGAGAAAUAAGCCAAUUCCCCACAAAAACAAAGGUUGAAUGGCCUCUCUGAUAUGUGGAUGCUGACAAAAAAGGGGAGAGGAAACGGAGGGUAAAAAUAGAAGUUCAGUGUAUUACAAAAGGAAAUGAAGAGAAGGGAGAGGGGAUAGGAAUAGGUAAGACAGUGGAAUGGAUCUGACAUAACUUUCCUAUGUACAUAGAUGAAUAUACCACAGUGAAUCUCAACAUCAUGUACAGCCAUAAGACUGGGAUCUUAAUUAGAAUAAUAUAUACUCCUUAUUUGUACAAAUACAUCUAAAUAGGCUCUACUGUCAUGUAUAUCUAAGGAGAACAAAUUUUUUAAAAAUGAAAAUUUGGAUGUGGGUGUGGAUCACUGGUUAAGUGUCUCUGUACCCCCAGUAUCAACAGGAAAAAGAAAAAAAAAAAUCUGCUAUCAAAAGCUUGUCUUUGCUGUGCUUCAUUCAAAUUUUAUUGACCCUCAGACCUAUUUGUCACUACAGAAAUCAAGAUGAUAAAUACUUCAUAUAAUUAAAUAAUUUAUAUUAUCAUAACAGGAGUAAUACAUGUUUUACUAAUAUAUCCCUUUUUGCCAUCACAUAGAAAUAUUUUGGAGUAAGCUGACUUGUUUGUGUCCUUUGGAUAAAAAUUGUGCUGAAACCAGCCAUUUUGUCAAAUUAUUCCAACAAUACUAAUGACUUUAAGUCAUAAGUUAAAAAAAUAUCUCUUGAAGAACAUGGGAUUCUGAUUAUAACUUACAUUAAAAUGUUUUACUUACAUUAAAAUGAUUAAGCAACAUCUGAUACAGGCAAAUUUCAAUCCAUACAUAAAUUAAUACAUAUGUUUCUAACAUUUAAUGAUCUGCAACAUAAAAUUAUAUAUUUGGUCUUCCAUUGAACCGGAUGUUACACUUUCUUUCUCUUAAACAAUAUUCUUAUGGUUUAAAUAUGAGAUGUCCUCCAAAAGUUUAUGUGUAAGACAAUGCAAGAAAGUUUAGAGGUAAAUUGAUCAGAUUAUGAGAGUUUGUUUAACCUAAUCAGUUCAUUAAUCCACUGAUAAGGAUUAACUGGGUGGUGACUAUAGGCAGGUAGGGUAUGUCUGGAGAAAGUAGUCAUUGGGAGCAUGCCUUUGGGGUUUAUAUUUUGGGCUGGGCAAGUGGAGCUCUCUCUGCUUUCUGAUGUUCAUGUCCUGAGUUUAGUUUUCUCUGCCACACCCUUCAGCCAUGAUGUUCUGCCUCACCUCCGCAUAAAGCAAUGGAGUCAGUCAUCUAUGGACUGAGAUCUCUGAAACCAUGAGUCAAAUAAACCUUUCUUUCUCUAAAAUUGUUCUUGUCAGAUCUUUUGGUCACAGUGGCAAAAAAGCUGACUAAAACAAAUAUGUUUAUUUAACAUUUCAUCUUCCCAUUCUUAUAUUUAUAAGGAAUGAUUUGUUCCCCCUACUUUAUGAAAGUCAGAUAAAUUCCAAGGUUUAGUCCUAAAGUACCCAGAAUUCAGCUGGUAAUGUCAGAAAGAUGAGAGUUAAACAGAAGGAAGCAGAGAACUUGGAAAACAAAAAGGAAAGAAAUGAGGAAUUAAACUUAUAACUUUAAGAAAAAUAUUAGACUGGUAUAGCCCAGUGGAAGAGCAUUUGCCUAAAACACAUGAAGCCCUGAAUUCAAUUCCCAGUAUGCAAAAGGCAAAGGGAGGGACUGGGGUUGUGGCUCAGUGGAAGCACACUUGCCUAGCAUGUGUGAGGUACUGGGUUAGAGUCUCAGCACCGCAUAUAAAUAAAUAAAUAAAUGUCCAUCAGCAACUAAAAAAUAGAUACUUAAAAAUAAAAAGGAAAAGGGAAAGUAUUUAGGCACUUAAUGAUAUAUAGAAAUACAGUGGACAUUUAAUCUUAUUCUCUCCUGUGUUAGAACUAGUUCAGUACUCAUUCAGAGCUGAGAGAACAGAUAAAAUUAAGCAAAACACGUCAAGUUCUUUUUUCCUUCAGAUACAAGUAAAUUUACUAGGCCUGUUUUAUAAAAUUUGCAAAUCAAUAAUACUUUAAUCACUGUCAGUUAAAACCACAGUGGCUCUUCUUCUCUGUACUGGAAUGGUUGCAGGCUUCUUGGGGAUUUGCCUAAGGGAAACUGUUACAAAACAUUUUGGCUUUGGUGGCAUAUAUUUAUGUCAUCCAUAAAUAUUUCCCUAAAGAAUUUUUGCUAGCCAUCCUGGUGUAGGAAUGACUUUCAGGAAUCUUCCUACACCCCAUUGUACAGACCCACCCAAAAACUUAACCCAAAUACACCACUGACAAAUUGGUUAAUGAGUGCUAUCAGACCAAGACAUCUUGAAAUGUCCUGAAAUUCUACAGUUCAUCUAUGAAAGAAACUUGAUAAUGGUUUCCCAAACUUAGCAACAAUAUUAAAAUUGUACAUGAACCUUAUCAACAAGGAAUUGUAAAGCUGAAACAUUCCUAAACUUGUAAUAAGAAUAAGCAAGUUUAAAUCACCUAUGUUAGAGGAAAUGCUGAAUUAUCUUCCUAUUCCCUAGAAUAAAAAUUAUAUUCUGAAAUUAUUGUCAUAGGAAAAGAUAAUCCAUGAUUAUGCAGCUAAAAAGUAUAAGGAAAAAAGUGUUAGAUAGAGACUUAUUAUGAAGUUCAUUGAUUAAAAGCAUUUUGUUAAUUUUCUAGAUUUUAAGAUCUUUGUGAUAUUUUUCAGCCUCUUGAGAUUUGUGAUUUGUUGUGACUUCCAUUAUCUUUCUGACCAAAUAUUACAUGCAUAAUUUUGUAUUUCUUUUCUUAAAGAAGCUUCCUCCUGGGCAACCCACUUGGGAUCCCUCUCUUCUUGGAGCUGCUCUUCUUCUCUGUUUAACAAAAGAAAGAAAUUCUGUCACUUUACUCAAAGGAAAAAAAAAAAGAGAGAGAGAAAAUACUUCCUCCCUACAACCCCAAAUUGUAUAAACUGCAGGAUACACAAAAUCAAGAUUCACAUAUGCCUUCAAAAUAAAUAUCAAUAUAAUUCUAAUGGAAUGCAAAGUAUAAAAUCACAUCUAUGAUUCAGAGGUUUCCAAAUACCUAUGUGAUUUGCUGAAUUUUUAAAAAUAUUUCAUCAAAAUGUUUAGUAUCAUAUUGCCAUAAUCAAUGACUGGCAUUCUAAGAAUAAACACAUAAGGAUCAAAUUUAUAAUUUCUGCAGAUUACCCAGGUAGUGAAACAUUUGUUUGAAGUUUCA